GACGAACGCUGGCGGCGUGCCUAACACAUGCAAGUCGAGCGGGGGGAGUUCUUCGGAACGAACCUAGCGGCGGACGGGUGAGUAACACGUGGGUAACCUGCCUCAAAGUGGGGGAUAGCCUUCCGAAAGGGAGAUUAAUACCGCAUAACCCAUGAUUUCCGCAUGGAAGCCAUGGUAAAGAUUUAUCGCUUUGAGAUGGACCCGCGGCGCAUUAGCUAGUUGGUGAGGUAACGGCUCACCAAGGCCACGAUGCGUAGCCGACCUGAGAGGGUGAUCGGCCACAUUGGAACUGAGACACGGUCAGACUCCUACGGGAGGCAGCAGUGGAGAAUAUUGCACAAUGGGCGAAAGCCUGAUGCAGCAACGCCGCGUGAGUGAUGAAGGUCUUCGGAUUGUAAAGCUCUGUCUUUUGGGACGAUAAUGACGGUACCAAAGGAGGAAGCCACGGCUAACUACGUGCCAGCCGCCGCGGUAACAC
rnacentral:rRNA from 1 species